rnacentral:rRNA from 1 species
GAUGAACGCUGGCGGCGUGCCUAAUACAUGCAAGUCGAGCGAACGGACGAGAAGCUUGCUUCUCUGAUGUUAGCGGCGGACGGGUGAGUAACACGUGGAUAACCUACCUAUAAGACUGGGAUAACUUCGGGAAACCGGAGCUAAUACCGGAUAAUAUUUUGAACCGCAUGGUUCAAAAGUGAAAGACGGUCUUGCUGUCACUUAUAGAUGGAUCCGCGCUGCAUUAGCUAGUUGGUAAGGUAACGGCUUACCAAGGCAACGAUGCAUAGCCGACCUGAGAGGGUGAUCGGCCACACUGGAACUGAGACACGGUCCAGACUCCUACGGGAGGCAGCAGUAGGGAAUCUUCCGCAAUGGGCGAAAGCCUGACGGAGCAACGCCGCGUGAGUGAUGAAGGUCUUCGGAUCGUAAAACUCUGUUAUUAGGGAAGAACAUAUGUGUAAGUAACUGUGAACAUCUUGACGGUACCUAAUCAGAAAGCCACGGCUAACUACGUG